rnacentral:rRNA from 1 species
CCUACGGGAGGCAGCAGUGGGGAAUAUUGCACAAUGGGGGAAACCCUGAUGCAGCAACGCCGCGUGAGUGAUGAAGUCCUUCGGGUUGUAAAGCUCUGUCUUUGGGGACGAUAAUGACGGUACCCAAGGAGGAAGCCACGGCUAACUACGUGCCAGCAGCCGCGGUAAUACGUAGGUGGCAAGCGUUGUCCGGAUUUACUGGGCGUAAAGGGAGCGUAGGUGGAUAUUUAAGUGGGAUGUGAAAUCCCCGGGCUUAACCUGGGGGCUGCAUUCCAAACUGGAUGUCUAGAGUGCAGGAGAGGAGAGUGGAAUUCCUAGUGUAGCGGUGAAAUGCGUAGAGAUUAGGAAGAACACCAGUGGCGAAGGCGACUCUCUGGACUGUAACUGACACUGAGGCUCGAAAGCGUGGGGAGCAAACAGGAUUAGAUACCCUGGUAGUCCACGCCGUAAACGAUGGGUACUAGGUGUAGGGGUUUUCGAGUACUUCUGUGCCGCCGUUAACACAAUAAGUACCCCCGCCUGGGAGUACGGUCGCAAGAUU